UACGGAGGGUGCAAGCGUUAUCCGGAUUCACUGGGUUUAAAGGGUGCGUAGGUGGGUAGGAAAGUCAGUGGUGAAAUCUUCGGGCUUAACCCGGAAACUGCCAUUGAUACUAUUUAUCUUGAAUACUUUGGAGGUAAGCGGAAUAUGUCAUGUAGCGGUGAAAUGCUUAGAUAUGACAUAGAACACCAACUGCGAAGGCAGCUUACUACACAGUUAUUGACACUGAGGCACGAAAGCGUGGGGAUCAAACAGG
rnacentral:rRNA from 1 species